AGCAUAUCAAUAAGCGGAGGAAAAGAAACCAACAGGGAUUGCCUUAGUAACGGCGAGUGAAGCGGCAACAGCUCAAAUUUGAAAUCUGGCCUCUGGCCCGAGUUGCAAUUUGCAGAGGAUGUUUCUGGCGAGGUGCCUUCCGAGUUCCCUGGAACGGGACGCCAUAGAGGGUGAGAGCCCCGUACGGUUGGUCGCUAAGCCUCUGUGAAACUCCUUCGACGAGUCGAGUAGUUUGGGAAUGCUGCUCUAAAUGGGAGGUAUACGUCUUCUAAAGCUAAAUACCGGCUAGAGACCGAUAGCGCACAAGUAGAGUGAUCGAAAGAUGAAAAGCACUUUGAAAAGAGGGUUAAAUAGUACGUGAAAUUGUUGAAAGGGAAGCGCUUAUGACCAGACUUGGAUCGGUUGAUCAACCAUCGUUCUCGGUGGUGCACUCUGCCGGUUCAGGCCAGCAUCAGUUUGGCCCGGGGGAUAAAGGCAUCGGGAAUGUGGCUCCCCACGGGGAGUGUUAUAGCCCGUUGCGUAAUACCCUGGGCUGGACUGAGGUUCGCGCUCCGCAAGGAUGCUGGCGUAAUGGUCAUCAGUGACCCGUCU
rnacentral:rRNA from 1 species